rnacentral:rRNA from 1 species
CCUACGGGUGGCAGCAGUGAGGAAUAUUGGUCAAUGGACGAGAGUCUGAACCAGCCAAGUAGCGUGAAGGAUGACUGCCCUAUGGGUUGUAAACUUCUUUUAUAUGGGAAUAAAAUGUUCCACGUGUGGGAUUUUGUAUGUACCAUAUGAAUAAGGAUCGGCUAACUCCGUGCCAGCAGCCGCGGUAAUACGGAGGAUCCGAGCGUUAUCCGGAUUUAUUGGGUUUAAAGGGAGCGUAGGUGGAUUGUUAAGUCAGUUGUGAAAGUUUGCGGCUUAACCGUAAAAUUGCAGGUGAAACUGGCAGUCUUGAGUACAGUAGAGGUGGGCGGAAUUCGUGGUGUAGCGGUGAAAUGCUUAGAUAUCACGAAGAACUCCGAUUGCGAAGGCAGUUCACUGGACUGCAACUGACACUGAGGCUCGAAAGUGUGGGUAUCAAACAGGAUUAGAUACCCUUGUAGUC